rnacentral:tRNA from 2 species
GCGCCCAUAGCUCAACUGGACAGAGUGUCUGACUACGGAUCAGAAGGUUGAGGGUUCAAAUCCUUCUGGGCGCGUCA